UUAAAUUGAAGAGUUUGAUCAUGGCUCAGAUUGAACGCUGGCGGCAGGCCUAACACAUGCAAGUCGAACGGUAACAGGAAGCAGCUUGCUGCUUCGCUGACGAGUGGCGGACGGGUGAGUAAUGUCUGGGAAACUGCCUGAUGGAGGGGGAUAACUACUGGAAACGGUAGCUAAUACCGCAUAACGUCGCAAGACCAAAGAGGGGGACCUUCGGGCCUCUUGCCAUCGGAUGUGCCCAGAUGGGAUUAGCUAGUAGGUGGGGUAACGGCUCACCUAGGCGACGAUCCCUAGCUGGUCUGAGAGGAUGACCAGCCACACUGGAACUGAGACACGGUCCAGACUCCUACGGGAGGCAGCAGUGGGGAAUAUUGCACAAUGGGCGCAAGCCUGAUGCAGCCAUGCCGCGUGUAUGAAGAAGGCCUUCGGGUUGUAAAGUACUUUCAGCGGGGAGGAAGGGAGUAAAGUUAAUACCUUUGCUCAUUGACGUUACCCGCAGAAGAAGCACCGGCUAACUCCGUGCCAGCAGCCGCGGUAAUACGGAGGGUGCAAGCGUUAAUCGGAAUUACUGGGCGUAAAGCGCACGCAGGCGGUUUGUUAAGUCAGAUGUG
rnacentral:rRNA from 1 species